AUUGAACGCUGGCGGCAGGCCUAACACAUGCAAGUCGAACGGUAACAGGAAGCAGCUUGCUGCUUUGCUGACGAGUGGCGGACGGGUGAGUAAUGUCUGGGAAACUGCUCGAUGGAGGGGGAUAACUACUGGAAACGGUAGCUAAUACCGCAUAACGUCGCAAGACCAAAGAGGGGGACCUUAGGGCCUCUUGCCAUCGGAUGAGCCCAGAUGGGAUUAGCUAGUAGGUGGGGUAACGGCUCACCUAGGCGACGAUCCCUAGCUGGUCUGAGAGGAUGACCAGCCACACUGGAACUGAGACACGGUCCAGACUCCUACGGGAGGCAGCAGUGGGGAAUAUUGCACAAUGGGCGAAAGCCUGAUGCAGCCAUGCCGCGUGUAUGAAGAAGGCCUUCGGGUUGUAAAGUACUUUCAGCGGGGAGGAAGGGAGUAAAGUUAAUACCUUUGCUCAUUGACGUUACCCGCAGAAGAAGCACCGGCUAACUCCGUG
rnacentral:rRNA from 1 species